GACGAACGCUGGCGGCGCGCUUAACACAUGCAAGUCGAGCGAAGCUGCGGACGGGUGAGUAACCCGUGAGUAACCUGCCUUAGACAUUGGGAUAGACUCGGGCAACCGGGAUUAAUACCAACUGGUCUAAGAUAGACUCGCGUCCCAUUAGCUCGUUGAUGAGGUAACGGCCCACCAAGACGACGAUGGGUAGGCGGCCGGAGAGGUGGAGCGGCAACAUUGGAACGGAGAAACGGUCCAAACUCUACGGGAGGCAGCGGUGGGGAAUAGUGAACAAGGGAGGGAACUCUGAUGCAGCGACGCGGGGUGAACGAAGAAGUCUGGCUAGUCGUAAAGUUCUUUUAUGUGGGAAGCGGUACCAUAAGAAUAAGCCACGGCUAACUACGUGCCAGCAGCCGCGGUAAUUC
rnacentral:rRNA from 1 species